rnacentral:rRNA from 1 species
GAGGAAUAUUGGACAAUGGGCGAAAGCCUGAUCCAGCCAUGCCGCGUGAGUGAUGAAGGCCUUAGGGUUGUAAAGCUCUUUCGAUGGUGAAGAUAAUGACGGUAACCAUAGAAGAAGCCCCGGCUAACUUCGUGCCAGCAGCCGCGGUAAUACGAAGGGGGCUAGCGUUGUUCGGAAUCACUGGGCGUAAAGCGCACGUAGGCGGAUAUGUAAGUCAGAGGUGAAAGCCCAGGGCCUAACCUUGGAACUGCCUUUGAAACUACAUCUCUAGAGACUCGGAGGGGAUAGCGGAAUUCCAAAUGUAGGGGUGAAAUCCGUAGAUAUUUGGAGGAACACCGGUGGCGAAGGCGGCUAUCUGGACGAGUACUGACGCUGAGGUGCGAAAGCGUGGGGAGCAAAC